AGUGAACGCUGGCGGUAGGCCUAACACAUGCAAGUCGAACGGCAGCACAGUAAGAGCUUGCUCUUACGGGUGGCGAGUGGCGGACGGGUGAGGAAUACAUCGGAAUCUACUUUUUCGUGGGGGAUAACGUAGGGAAACUUACGCUAAUACCGCAUACGACCUACGGGUGAAAGCAGGGGAUCUUCGGACCUUGCGCGAUUGAAUGAGCCGAUGUCGGAUUAGCUAGUUGGCGGGGUAAAGGCCCACCAAGGCGACGAUCCGUAGCUGGUCUGAGAGGAUGAUCAGCCACACUGGAACUGAGACACGGUCCAGACUCCUACGGGAGGCAGCAGUGGGGAAUAUUGGACAAUGGGCGCAAGCCUGAUCCAGCCAUACCACGUGGGUGAAGAAGGCCUUCGGGUUGUAAAGCCCUUUUGUUGGGAAAGAAAAGCAGCAGGUUAAUACCCCGCUGUUCUGACGGUACCCAAAGAAUAAGCACCGGCUAACUUCGU
rnacentral:rRNA from 1 species